AUAAAUAUAAAUUAGGAUGCCGCAGUGCCUACGCAUCCGCCGGUCCUGGCCAUAAUACUUUUUAUUAUAAAGCGGCAAUAUUGCGAAAGCUAAUAUCGGGCUACGUACAAUGUUGCGUUAACAUAUCGGGUUUCUAGUGGCUUUUUAUAAGAAAUGUUACUUAAGCGCCAGCUACUAAAUAUUACACUGGUAUAUAUCCAGACUUUUAUAUAGAGACCUGGAUAUAAUAAUAUCGAUGGAAGAUGAUGUUUUCGCAUUAGUACGCGUUUGUGAUUACUUGGCUCCGUCUUCCGUUAGCGUACCAACAAACUAUACCUUUACAAACUGGCAUCUUAUCCGGAUUUACUAUGUUAGUUUUAAGGGAAAGUCAAUCGCCUUAUUUUUCGGUUGUAUGGUCUGGUUUCGAGAACUGCCUGUCCUUCUUUUCUCCAGAAUCACUGCCUGUCGGAUCUAUCCACAUCCGUACAUGGCCGCUACUUAAGCGUAUUUUAAAUAUAUUAUUUAUUUCGUUUAUAGGUUUGAUCAUAAUUUUUUAUUAACUUUUAACUGGAAUUAAAGCGACGAAAGUAUAUCUACUCAGAAAUUUGCAAUAUUCAAAUGUCCUAUGAAUAUAUUAAUUCCAAGC
rnacentral:lncRNA from 1 species